rnacentral:rRNA from 1 species
UUCCGGUUGAUCCCGCCGGACCUGACUGCUAUCGGAUUGAUACUAAGCCAUGCGAGUCUUUGCAGUAAUGCAAGGCAUACGGCUCAGUAACACGUAGUCAACUUACCCUAUGGACGAGGAUAAUCUCGGGAAACUGAGCAUAAUACUCGAUAGAUCAUAAUGCCUGGAAUGGUUUAUGGUUAAAAUGAUUCGUCGCCAUAGGAUGGGACUGCGGCCUAUCAGCUUGUUGGUGAGGUAAUGGCCCACCAAGGCGAUUACAGGUACGGGCUCUGAGAGGAGAAGCCCGGAGAUGGGUACUGAGACAAGGACCCAGGCCCUAUGGGGCGCAGCAGGCGAGAAAACUUUGCAAUGUGCGAAAGCACGACAAGGUUAAUCCGAGUGAUUUCUGCUAAAGAAAUCUUUUGCAAGUCAUAAAACCACUAGUGAAUAAGGGGUGGGCAAGUUCUGGUGUCAGCCGCCGCGGUAAAACCAGCACCUCAAGUGGUCAGGAGGAUUAUUGGGCCUAAAGCAUCCGUAGCCGGCUCUGUAAGUUUUCGGUUAAAUCCAUGUGCUCAACACAUGGGCUGCCGAAAAUACUGCAUAGCUAGGGAGUGGGAGAGGUAGACGGUACUCGGUAGGAAGGGGUAAAAUCCUUUGAUCUAUCGAUGACCACCUGUGGCGAAGGCGGUCUACCAGAACACGUUCGACGGUGAGGGAUGAAAGCUGGGGGAGCAAACCGGAUUAGAUACCCGGGUAGUCCCAGCUGUAAACGAUGCAGACUCGAUGAUGCAUUGGCAUAUAGCCAGUGCAGUGUCGCAGGGAAGCCGUUAAGUCUGCCGCCUGGGAAGUACGUACGCAAGUAUGAAACUUAAAGGAAUUGGCGGGGGAGCACCACAAGGGGUGAAGCCUGCGGUUCAAUUGGAGUCAACGCCGGG